rnacentral:lncRNA from 1 species
CUUAAACUUAUUUUUUUUUAUUGGAAAAGACAUUCAGAUUAUACCGAAAUAUGAUAAAAGUUGACAAGAAAAGGAGAAAAAAACAAAGACAACCCAAAAAAUCUAUGUCUAAAUAAACAAAUAUUGUACAUAUAAAUCUGCGUAAUUCAACAUAAAUAUUUGUUAAAAUCGAACCAUAAACGCAUCAUGAAAUUUCAUAUCGCACAUUCAAAAAAGAAGCCAUAGAUAUUACUGAAAAACGACAAGAAAUUGAUGAUUUUUGCCGUGAACUAUAGGUUGAUUUACACAAAGACAGUGAUAUACGGACAGUGUAAGAAAGUUGGAACAAAUUGUUAAGCUAGACUGAUUGAAAAACGAUCUAUUAUAUGAAAUAUACAUGAAAAAAAUUGACGAAUUUUGCCGUGCAGUGGGUUGAUUUACACAAAUACAGUGAUUUACGGACAUACACACUAUAAAAAAGUUGGAACAUAUUGUUAAGUCUGAUUAAUAAUAAAAUAAAUUAGUUGGUACGAAUUGACAAUUGACUUGGUACGAAUUGUCCAAAUCUGGAACGAACUGGUUUGGAACGAAUCGGACUUGGAACGAAUUGACUAGCAUUCAUUUUGACUAAUU